AACCCAAUAUGACCCCUAUCUCUUUAGCAUGAUCCGAACUUUUUAUAAAAACCCAAACUUGGUUCACAAUUUCUGCCCUGUAGUUCAUCAUCACUCCACUAGGAGGAGUGGAGGGCCAUUUUCUGCUCACUUCAAAAUGGCUGCCUCCGGGAAAACUUCUGUCCUUUUGGUGGGAACAUUUUUGCUAAUUUUCAAAACUUUAUGUCCAUCCUUGUGAUGAUCCCUGGGCUGAAGUCAGUGAGAGUUGGGGGCAUGAUGUCCAUCCACAACUCCUGGAUGUAGACCGACCACAAGAAUUGCGUUUGGACAAUCAACACCAGACUCCCAGUCAAAGGAUUGGGGUUACCUAAGAGACAGGCCUUCAAUGGGGACAAUCUGCUUUUCUACAAUUAACUCCCAAGUGACAGAAGGAAGGGAAGAGAGGGUGGCAAACUCACUGAAGAACGGAAGAGACUCGAGAAACAAGCAUGCUGAUGGGAAAUGAAGAAUGGUCAUUACAAAAAAAAAAAAAAGUGAAUAUCUUUUUAGUUCAGAUUCAGAAUAUUAAACCCUAAAAUGAUUCUCCUCAAGCUGUUUAGUUUCCCUUAACUGUUUAGAUAUAAAUAUUAAUUAUUUCAAUUCUCUUAAUUCUUUUUUCACCCAAACCACCUGCGAAGGGAAUCAAAUUUAUAUAUAUAUAUAUAUAUGUAUAUAUAUUUAAUUGAAUUCCAACUUAACCUCUAAAUAUUCAGCAGGGAUGACCAAUGGGUCUACAUGGUGAGAGGUGCAUAAAAGGGUGUGGCGUGGGAAUCUUUUCAGGGGUCAGGAGUGAGGGUGGAAAAGGUCAUGGGGUCAGAGCCAGCUGGACAGCACAUAAGAGGAGAUGAGGGUGAGAAAAGAAGGGGGGUUUGGGGGUGUCCAGGGCUGACUGACCACACGCAAAAGGACAUUAACAUUGAACUGAGGGAAAGCUCCAUGAUCAGUUUCCACAAGUGGCCAGAUUUCCAUUGUUGUUUGUGCAAAAUCGCCAAACGGAAUGCAACAAUGGAUCAAACACGACAUUCAAAAAAACUAAACUUCAGCCCUAAAAUAUAGUAUAAAAUGUGUAUAAUAUACAACCUUGGAGAAACUUUGAUAAACCAAAAAAAAACAUCUUUUUUUCUUAAGCUUCCCACCUAAUUUUAAACUAUUUAUUGUUUUUUAUGUUAAUUGUGCCUUUUUAAUGUAUAAUUACUUCUUAAAUGUCUUAUUUUAUUUCACAGUAUUUUCUUAAACCAUUUUUUUUUAAUUUAAGCUAGAUUUGUAUCAUAAAAAGUUAAAAGCAAGCACAUUUGAAGCAAACAAUGCUAAAAAGCUGCCAAAGCUGCACUCACAGUGUUGCACAGGAUGACAAACAUACAGUUCUGCAUACUAAAAGAGCUUAAAAGUGUCUACAGUUUUAUUUUGGAGAGGUUUCUUUUCAUACUGCUACAUAAUACCUGGUCAGUAAGGGAAAAAAACAGUAUAAUUUGAAGUCAAAGGAAGCAGGGUGGUCCCAAAAAAGGCUGAUCCAGCAAAUCAUCUGUACAAAAAAGCUUAAUGCAAAUAACACAAGGGAGAUCACUUUUUUCCUGAUUUUUUUAUUCUGACAAAAACACACAACUCCACAUGACAUUUUCCAAGCAACCAGCUGUAUGUUACUUAAUUUACUCUAAGAAUUGAGUC